UAUGAAUCCUUUUAGCACCAUAAGAACUUGCAU
rnacentral:piRNA from 1 species